UAAUAAGUGUUUUAUGGCACUUUUUAAAUCCAUAUCCACCUUGUGUGCAAUGUCAGUCGAUCUUCUUCAUGGAGAUCGACCAAACAUCAACCUUUAUUUUUUAACUCUUUGUCUGAAAAAUAUUAUGAACUAAACAAUUCAAAAUA
rnacentral:misc_RNA from 1 species